rnacentral:precursor_RNA from 1 species
GCAGACAGGAGAGCGGCAAGAAUUAAGACGUUCAGAUUUAGGACGCAAAACAGUAUUUUUCCGAGGUCACAAUUUUACGCCAACAGAGGUAAGGUGCUUGAACUAUCGCUAAUUGUUUGAUAAAAAUGCAUUAAAGAAUGUGGAGAACGGCGUUUUGUUCAGAUAUCAUUAACUGUUUUGUCUGAAAAUUUGAACCAGACUGUCGAGUGGUUUAGGUAGUUUCAUGUUGUUGGGAUUACAUUCAAACUCUGCAACGUGAAACUGUCUUAAUUGCCCCAGUUUCAUUCCUCUGUAUAACCUACGAUAUGUUAGUGGACAAAGAAACAAUCUUAAAAGCAUUUAAAUUACCAGUAGUUGCUUGUUUUUAGUCUUUUUAAAAUUGACUAAACGUAACUGAGCUAUUUUAUCGAAUUAGGCUACUUAUUUAGAUGUAUAUUUGUACUUGGUUUAUUGCUUUGCUAUGAAACGAACUCAUGGGAGAUCAUGAUUUGUCGAACUCAAAGCAGACAGCAGACUUAACAAGGCCUCGGUUACGUCCAAUAUACCAUAAUCUUGCCUUGCCUGCU